CCGGCCCUCUCAAGCGAGAGCUUCACGUUUCCUGCUGCAAGUGCAGUUGCACUGCUGGUGUACGGAGUCAGUGCAAGCAUGCAGUGGUUGUAUGCCUCUACAACAGCUGUGAGGAGGACAGCUGCACAAGCCGACCUCAGCAGUGGGGAAAGUUCAGCCACAGCAAAGCCCCGGAUGCAGCGAUCACAAUACUUAUCAGACGUGUUCCCUCGUAGGUUUGAAUACCGUGGCAUCAGGAGAGGAGGCUUCACAUCAGCAAUACCAAGGCACACCUGAUUCGCACAAAAAAGAAUGACAGAAGGCUUCAUCAAGCUGCUCAGCAACUUCUGAAAUCUAGCUCUUACAAGAGUGCUGCCAUGUGCUAUGGUGCGUUUUUCACUACACGUUACCAAAAUGGAAAGAAUAAUCCUGGCCGCACUUGGCUAGUGUCAUGUGCCCUUAUUGGGUUAUACACAAAACCAUUAGUACUGAUUUUGUAUAGUGCUCUCACAAAAAUAUCAUUACAGGAAGUAAAACUGAAGGCAUAGCACGAGAGAACCUGGAAAGGAGGCUUGGAGCAAGUGUUGUGCUGAUAGGACUCCUUCCUUUUAUUGUGAAUAUAGCGUUAUUCCCAAACCUCAUUGUCAUAUCUUUGUAUUUUCUAGACUAGACUCGUGGUCCUUCCUGAGGAACCUUGGUUGCGCUGCAGCGCUGACGCACUUGUACAGCUUCGUAAUCAGACUGUCCUAAUUGAAAUCAAGUGACCACAUAAAUUCAAGGAUUCACCAUUUAUUAAGUACGAAGGACGGUACUGUGAGCUUCCAUAUUUGAUAGUCAUUGAUGAGAUAAUUGAAUUAAGAAAGUCACAUCAAUACUACACUCAGUUGCAGGUCCAGAUGUAUAUUCUUCAUUUGCAGAAAGUUUUGCUCUUUGUGUAGUCAAAUCAGUCUGUCAUAAUUGCUGUGAAGAGGGAUGAAGCGUUUUUGUGGGAGCUCAUACCUAAAAUGGACUAUUUUCUUUCAAGCUUUUUCCUGCUUUGUUCUAGCAUUAUUUCUCCUGUUUCUAUCGUGUGUUUUUCUGUUUGGGUUCACAAUUUUAAAGAGAUAUUCUAUCAAGUAUUGCUGCACUCUACAAUAGCAUCACUUCCACAAAAUUUUUUGUGUCCUCCUAAUGUGAUAUUUUCUCUUUGCUUUAAAAAAUCCUUAUUUUUGUAUGCACUUUAAAAGUUCAAAAGGAUGUUCUAAACUGCAGUAUUUUAGUCUACAUGGUAGUUGUCAGAGCUUUGAAAAUGCGGUGCUUUUAUUUUAAUUGAAUGUGUAAUAAGUUUAGUCAACAUGUAAUAUUUUAGUGCCACGCAAUUCUGGAGGAAAAAUUUGUAUUUAUUUAUUUCUACCACGUCUGACGUUUUUUGGUUUGAUGAAUACAGGUAGGAAAAGUGGAAGAGUGCGUUUUAUUAUGUUACUAUAUAUUGAGUUGGCAUGAGAUAUCCCAGAGCUUUGAAAAUGUGAGUACAGUGCAUUCAUAAUGAUUGGUAUGUGUCUGGUCUACAUGCUAUAUAUUUGUGUCACACUGUUCUGGAGAAAUAUUUGCAUUUAUUUAUUUUAUCAUUUGUGAUGUUUAUAGGGUUUACUACAUCCAAGUGGUGUUUAGGUCUACAUUGCUAUCGGUUGAGUUGGCAAUGACUAAGCCGCAGCUUCGAAAAUAUGAAUACAGUUUCUCCAAUAUAUAGUUCAAGAUGCCUAACCUAUAUGAAAUAUUUUGUAGCGUCACUUGGUUUGAGAAACAUGUGCAUCUAUAUAUUUUAUCCUUUGUGAUGUUUUUAAAGUUGAUCAAUCCAGGUAGAAAAAAAUCGAUGAAUAUGUUUUUGCUAAUGUUACUACCUGUUAACUGGGCACAGAUACGCCAGAGCUUUGAAAAUGUGGCUACAGUGCCUUUAUGGUUUUCAAAGUAUCUAGCCUGUAUGCGAUGUUUUAAUGUUGCUGUAUCUAGUCUUAAUAAAGUAUGAAAUUACUAUUACAGUUUAGUUUGAAUUAUGCUAAACCUAUAAAAAUGUGAAGAUGUGUAAUGAACUUAGAACACAGGGCUUACCAAACUUACAUAUACCAAGCUUAAAGGCAGUAUUCUUAGUGCAGAAAUAUUGCUAAUGUUGCCAAUGUGCAGUUGCUACCUGCGCAUGGCAUAGAGUUUAUUUUUUUCAAUGAAGUCACAUUAAUAUUUGUUUUUGUCUUAACCAUUGCAUUACUACACAGUUGGCAUUGCAAGAAUUGACUAUACUUGGAAUUCUUCAGGUUACAACAUUUCAUAAACUUUUGUGAUUUCAUA